UAGGGAAUAUUGCAAAAUGGGCGAAAGCCCGAUGCAGCAACGCCGCGUGGGCGAUGAAGGCCUUCGGGUCGUAAAACCCUUUUGCCACUGACGAGGAAGGACGGUAGGUGGCGAAUAAGCCUCGGCUAACUACGUGCCAGCAGCCGCGGUAAAACGUAGGAGGCAAGCGUUAUCCGGAGUUACUGGGCGUAAAGCGCGCGCAGGCGGUUCGUUAAGUGGGGCGUGAAAGCCCCGCGCUAAACGCGGGGAGGACGAACCAUACUGAUGGACUGGAGUGGAGCAGAGGGACAUGGAAUUCCGGGUGUAGCGGUGAAAUGUGCAGAUAUCCGGAGGAACACCAGAGGUGAAAACGGUGUCCUGGGCUCACACUGACGCUGAGGCGCGAAAGCGUGGGGAGCGAACG
rnacentral:rRNA from 1 species